ACAUAGAUAAACUGUAUCCUACCCAACUCCUCACACAGACAGGACUGGGACCAUCUGCUCUCCCUUAUCACUACUACAUAGAUAAACUGUAUCCUACCCAACUCCUCACACAGACAGGACUGGGACCAUCUGCUCUCCCUUAUCACUACUACAUAGAUAAACUGUAUCCUACCCAACUCCUCACACAGACAGGACUGGGACCAUCUGCUCUCCCUUAUCACUACUACAUAGAUAUAUAUAGAUAGAUAGAUAGGCUCCUGUUUUUAAAUUCUACACAUCGGAAGGAAGGAACCGGUUGUCACGGAAAACUUUCAAAUCUGUGGGAGAUCAAAACUAUGGGAGAUCAACGCUGUGGGAGAUCAACGCUGUGGGAGAUCAACGUUAUGGGAGAUCAACGCUAUGAGAGAUUAACGCUAUGAGAGAUUAACGCUAUGAGAGAUUAACGCUAUGAGAGAUUAACGCUAUGAGAGAUUAACGCUAUGAGAGAUUAACGCUAUGAGAGAUUAACGCCACGGGAGAUCAAUGCUACGGGAGGUCAACGAUACGGGAGGUCAACGCUACAGGAGAUCAACGCUACGGGAGAUCAACGCUACGGGAGGUCAACGCUACGGGAGGUCAACGCUACGGGAGAUCAACGCUACGGGAGAUCAACGCUACGGGAGGUCAACGAUACGGGAGGUCAACACUACGGGAGGUCAACGCUACGGGAGGUCAACGCUACGGGAGGUCAACAAUACGGGAGGUCAACGCUACGGGAGGUCAACGCUACGGGAGGUCAACGCUACGGGAGAUCAACGCUACGGGAGGUCAACGCUACGGGAGGUCAACGCUACGGGAGGUCAACGCUACGGGAGAUCAACGCUACGGGAGAUCAACGCUGUGGGAGAUCAACGCUACGGGAGAUCAAUAUGGAGGUGAUCACCAACAGUCAGCCAGCCAUGGACGAUAGAGAAAGGAGUUUUAGAUUCACGAAAGAUAACCGCCAUUUGUUUGAUUGGGUUCUGUAUGUGUGGCUUUGAUAUCAUACAGAGAGUGAGAUGACUGUCUCUAAUAGCAGCCCCUGUGACACACUAUUCCUGCACUACAUUUGACCAGGGCCCAUAGCUCUAUGUAGGGAAUAGGGUGCCAAGUGUCUGAAAUGGUACCCUAUUUCCUACAGGCCCUGGUCAAAAGUAGUGCACUAUGUAGGGAAUAGGGUGCCAUUUGGAACUUAUUAACUUAGACAAUAAGAGGAUUUUACAAUGAGCACUUUUUUUUUUUUUUUUACCCAGAUAGAGAUGGGGACAGAACAUUCUGAUAGUGAUCUGGCCUCCUAUGGACAAUGGACAUUAUAUCACACUAACAAUGCAUCGGGGGUGAACCAAUAGUAAUAUCAUUCUGAUAUGUGUGUGUACAAAUAAAACAUAGAAUUUGUAGUAAAUGAAUAUUGUAAUACGGUAUUUGGUUCUGGGACGAAAAAAUAUAUAUUUAGUUUGUCUUUUUAUUUGAAAUACUGACUAUCGUGAUCUUUUGUCUCAUUUUUAUAAUGUUUUUUUGUUUGAUCGUGUUGUCAGAUCUCAAUCGUUCAAAUUACAAAGCUCCAAAUCUUUUAACCCCCCUAUAACUUGAUAGUACCUUGAUCAUUUUAACCCUAGAAUUGACUGGAGUGAUUGACUGGAGUGAUUGACUGGAGUGAUUGACUGGAGUGAUUGACUGGAGUGAUUGACUGGGGUGAUUGACUGGAGUGAUUGACUGGAGUGAUUGACUGGAGUGAUUGACUGGAGUGAUUGACUGAGGUGAUUGACUGGAGUGAUUGACUGGGGUGAUUGACUGGAGUGAUUGACUGGGGUGAUUGACUGGAGUGAUUGACUGGAGUGAUUGACUGGGGUGAUUGACUGGAGUGAUUGACUGGAGUGAUUGACUGGAGUGAUUGACUGGAGUGAUUGACUGGAGUGAUUGACUGGAGUGAUUGACUGGAGUGAUUGACUGGAGGUGAUUGACUGGAGUGAUUGACUGGAGUGAUUGACUGGAGUGAUUGACUGGAGUGAUUGACUGGAGUGAUUGACUGGAGUGAUUGACUGGAGUGAUUGACUGGAGUGAUUGACUGGGGUGAUUGACUGGAGUGAUUGACUGGAGUGAUUGACUGGGGUGAUUGACUGGAGUGAUUGACUGGAGUGAUUGACUGGAGUGAUUGACUGGAGUGAUUGACUGGGGUGAUUGACUGGAGUGAUUGACUGGGGUGAUUGACUGGGGUGAUUGA